rnacentral:rRNA from 1 species
AGUGAACGCUGGCGGUAGGCCUAACACAUGCAAGUCGAACGGCAGCACAGUAAGAGCUUGCUCUUACGGGUGGCGAGUGGCGGACGGGUGAGGAAUACAUCGGAAUCUACUUUUUCGUGGGGGAUAACGUAGGGAAACUUACGCUAAUACCGCAUACGACCUACGGGGGAAAGCAGGGGAUCUUCGGACCUUGCGCGGUUGAAUGAGCCGAUGUCGGAUUAGCUAGUUGGCGGGGUAAAGGCCCACCAAGGCGACGAUCCGUAGCUGGUCUGAGAGGAUGAUCAGCCACACUGGAACUGAGACACGGUCCAGACUCCUACGGGAGGCAGCAGUGGGGAAUAUUGGACAAUGGGCGCAAGCAUGAUCCAGCCAUACCGCGUGGGUGAAGAAGGCCUUCGGGUUGUAAAGCCCUUUUGUUGGGAAAGAAAAGCAGCAGGUUAAUACCCCGCUGUUCUGACGGUACCCAAAGAAUAAGCACCGGCUAACUUCGUG